UGGGGAAUUUUGGACAAUGGGCGAAAGCCUGAUCCAGCAAUGCCGCGUGUGUGAAGAAGGCCUUCGGGUUGUAAAGCACUUUUGUCCGGAAAGAAAUCCUUGGCUCUAAUACAGUCGGGGGAUGACGGUACCGGAAGAAUAAGCACCGGCUAACUACGUGCCAGCAGCCGCGGUAAUACGUAGGGUGCAAGCGUUAAUCGGAAUUACUGGGCGUAAAGCGUGCGCAGGCGGUUUGCUAAGACCGAUGUGAAAUCCCCGGGCUCAACCUGGGAACUGCAUUGGUGACUGGCAGGCUAGAGUAUGGCAGAGGGGGGUAGAAUUCCACGUGUAGCAGUGAAAUGCGUAGAGAUGUGGAGGAAUACCGAUGGCGAAGGCAGCCCCCCUGGGCCAAUACUGACGCUCAUGCACGAAAGCGUGGGGAGCAAAACAGGAUUAGAUACCCUGGUAGUCCACGCCCUAAACGAUGUCAACUAGUUGUUGGGGAUUCAUUUCCUAGUAACGUAGCUAACGCGUGAAGUUGACCGCCUGGGGAGUACGGUCGCAAGAUUAAAACUCAAAGGAAUUGACGGGGUCAUAGCUGUUUCCU
rnacentral:rRNA from 1 species